AGCACAAGAAAAAUCCCUAACGCCCUUUGCCACAGUCCCAUCAUUUGGGAAGCUGGAAUUAUUUUCUUUUUCGGGUUGUCUUGGGUCAGGCCUAUGAUUUCAGCCAUGUAGAGAAGAGCCAGCAUGGAAACUCUCUCUUUUCUGGCAGAUCCCUCUCUCUGAGUGACACAUUUGGCUCUUCUAGUCUUAGCUUCCUGAAGUGGUGAGAAGUUAAUUGACUUGUCUAUGGCUGCACAGCUAAGAGGGGAGGAAACUAAGGACCAGGAAGCUAAUUGACAUGUCCGUGAAGGACGGCAGAGCUCUAGGCCAUAACUCAGCUGCCUACUUACCUUGGAAGUUCCGUCAUAUCUGUGGCCUUUGCAUGCGUGGAGCAUUCCUCUACUCCCAUGGCUUUCUUCUCUGAUUGGAGGAGGAGGAGAAAAUAGAAGAUGAAGUCUCAUCCAAACCCAAGUCUGUGCUGGCUACUUCUUCUGACUUUGUGGCUGUUUUUCUUUCUAUAUGAAAGGAAUGCUAAAGGAACGAUCAAUGGACAGGAAACCAAUAAAUACUCCAAUUGGCUUGGUCAAGUCUGCUGCUGGCCAUGGGAGAAGGAAUACCCAGCCUGGCUUGUUUGGAUAAUAGUCGUUCUGCUUUGGACACUUCAGGAUCUACCGGUUUUAGUGCCUUCGGCUGCCACACUUUAGUCAAAGUUCUUCAUAGGAGCUGCUUUCAACACUGAGAUUCUCACAUGUGGUCAAGGAGCAGGCCUCCUUUGAAAGAGGGUCAGGGUGCAGAGAUAAGUAAAAUGUAAUGAAGCUGAACCAUGGUGGGAGAAGCACAGUGCAAUGCCAAAAGUGUGGCCUGAGAGUGACUUGAUUUGAGUUGGAAUUCUGGCUCUUCUCCAAGGGACUCUGGGCAAGUCAUUUCCCCCAUUCUGGGAUGGAAUAUCCUUAUUUGUAAAAUCUGAGGAUUGUUCUAGCUCUUGUGGUUCUACAAUUAGGUUAGACGCAAUAAAGAUAAUGAAAGGAUUCUUAAUAAAAGACAAUAGGGAACAUUUCCUAUUAAUGACAUUAAUUAAUUAAUGACAUCCCCAAAAGAAGGAUUCCUGGCCAGGAUAGGCUUGGAAAGCUAGAAGAGCUUCUAGUGCACAGACUAGAGCUUAGAGGUAUUGAUCUUCCAGGGGCUCUGGAAUAGUCUAUGUUACCUCCUUGGAAGUUAGGACCAAGCCCAACCAAAGUAAUGGAAUGAGUCCUACUCCUAGCUUGUAUUUAUAGCUAGCUAGCAUUUAUAAAGCACUUUAAGAUUUGCAAAGUGCUUCACAAAUCUUACUUUAUUUAAUCCUUAUAAGAAUCCCCAGAGGUAGGUUCUGUUAUUAUCUCCAUUUUAAGGUUGAGGAAACUGAGGCAGACAGCAUUUGAGUGACUUGCUUAGAGUCACACAGCUAAUAAAGUGUCUGAAGUCUAACUACACGACUGUUCAUUUGCUUCUCUCCUGGUUCAUGUGUGCACAUGCUGGCGACUUAGAAUUGUAGUUGACCAUUAGAGCUAGAAAGGACCAUAGAGAUCAUAUUAAGUCACAAGAGCACAGAUUUAGGGGAAGCAGCACGACACGGUGGAUCGAGUACUGGAGUUGGAACUAGGAAUUCCUGGGUUCAAAUUCUGCCUCAAUUACUUUGUAGCUGUGUAAUCCCAGGCAAGUUACUUAACUCCUCAGGUUUCCUCCUCUGUAAAAAGUGGAUAACAA